AACGAACGCUGGCGGCAUGCCUAACACAUGCAAGUCGAACGAGACCUUCGGGCCUAUUUGCGCUCGUCUGCGUGCGACCUGGGAACUUGCCCUUAGGUAAGGAAUACCUCCCCGUAGGGUGUCCUAAUACCGCUUAAUCUCUUAGGACCAAAGAUCUAUGGCUUUUGGAUGGGCCCGCGUUGGAUUCGCCGGUUGGUAGGGUACAAGCCUGCCAUGGCGAGGAUCCAUGGCUGGUCGGAGAGGAGGAUCAGCUAGACUGGGACUGCGACACGGCCCAGAAUCCGACGGGGAGCAGCAGUGGGGAAUAUUGGACGAGGGGGGAAAGUCUGAUCCAGCAAUGCCGCGUGAGUGAUGAAGGCCGUAGGGUUGUAAAGCUCUUUUAGCCGGGACGAUAAUGACAGUACCGGGAGAAUAAGCACCGGCUAACUACGUG
rnacentral:rRNA from 1 species